GGAGAGGUGGCAGAGCGGUUGAAUGCGGCAGACUCGAAAUCUGUUUUGGGGCAACCCAACGGGGGUUCGAAUCCCCCCCUCUCCG
rnacentral:tRNA from 1 species